CUCCAAGCCAGCUGCAGGAAACCUGCUCACUUGGGACAGUCCCUGCUCAGGAGGGAGCUGCCAGGCCUCUCUGGGGUGGAACACACGACAAGGGCCCCAGGCAG